rnacentral:rRNA from 1 species
AUGCGCAAAUGCCUCCUUCUCUGGAGGGGCUGUGUUUAUUAGAUACAAAACCAACCCACUUUUGUGGAGUCCUGGUGAUUCAUAGUAACCGAACGGAUCGCAUUUGGCUUCGGCCCGCGAUAGAUCUUUCAAGUUUCUGACCUAUCAGCUUUCGACGGUAGGGUAUUGGCCUACCGUGGCAGUGACGGGUAACGGGGAAUUAGGGUUCGAUUCCGGAGAGGGAGCCUGAGAAACGGCUACCACAUCUAAGGAAGGCAGCAGGCGCGCAAAUUACCCAAUGAAAACAGUUUCGAGGUAGUGACGAGAAAUAACAAUACAGGGCAUUUUAUGCUCUGUAAUUGGAAUGAUGGGAAUGUAAAACCCUUCCAGAGUAACAAUUGGAGGGCAAGUCUGGUGCCAGCAGCCGCGGUAAUUCCAGCUCCAAUAGUGUAUAUUAGAGUUGUUG